rnacentral:rRNA from 1 species
UGGCGACCGGCGCACGGGUGCGUAACGCGUAUGCAACCUACCCAUAACAGGGGGAUAACACUGAGAAAUUGGUACUAAUACCCCAUAACAUCAGGACCGGCAUCGGUUCUGGUUGAAAACUCCGGUGGUUAUGGAUGGGCAUGCGUUGUAUUAGCUGGUUGGUGAGGUAACGGCUCACCAAGACAACGAUACAUAGGGGGACUGAGAGGUUAACCCCCCACAUUGGUACUGAGACACGGACCAA